GGUUUCUCUUCCAGGACGAGCUGCUGUUUCCCAGCUGGGAGGCUCUGUUCUCAGGCUCUGAGGGUCCGCUGAAGCCCGGGGCACGCAUCUUCUCCUUUGACGGCAAGGACGUCCUGAGGCACCCCACCUGCCCCAGAAGAGCGUGUGGCAUGGCUCGGACCCCAACGGGCGCAGGCUGACCGAGAGCUACUGUGAGACGUGGCGGACGGAGGCUCCCUCGGCCACGGGCCAGGCCUCCUCGCUGCUGGGGGGCAGGCUCCUGGGGCAGAGUGCCGCGAGCUGCCAUCACGCCUACAUCGUGCUC
rnacentral:lncRNA from 1 species